rnacentral:rRNA from 1 species
AUUGAACGCUGGCGGCAGGCCUAACACAUGCAAGUCGAGCGGAUGAGUGGAGCUUGCUCCAUGAUUCAGCGGCGGACGGGUGAGUAAUGCCUAGGAAUCUGCCUGGUAGUGGGGGACAACGUUUCGAAAGGAACGCUAAUACCGCAUACGUCCUACGGGAGAAAGUGGGGGAUCUUCGGACCUCACGCUAUCAGAUGAGCCUAGGUCGGAUUAGCUAGUUGGUGAGGUAAAGGCUCACCAAGGCGACGAUCCGUAACUGGUCUGAGAGGAUGAUCAGUCACACUGGAACUGAGACACGGUCCAGACUCCUACGGGAGGCAGCAGUGGGGAAUAUUGGACAAUAGGCGAAAGCCUGAUCCAGCCAUGCCGCGUGUGUGAAGAAGGUCUUCGGAUUGUAAAGCACUUUAAGUUGGGAGGAAGGGCAGUAAGUUAAUACCUUGCUGUUUUGACGUUACCAACAGAAUAAGCACCGGCUAACUUCGUGCC